rnacentral:rRNA from 1 species
UACGUAGGCAGCAAGCGUUGUUCGGAGUUACUGGGCGUAAAGGGUGUGUAGGCGGUUCUUUUAAGUUUGGUGUGAAAUCUCCCGGCUCAACUGGGAGGGUGCGCCGAAUACUGAGGGACUAGAGUGCGGGAGAGGAAAGUGGAAUUCCUGGUGUAGCGGUGAAAUGCGUAGAUAUCAGGAGGAACACCGGUGGUGUAGACGGCUUUCUGGACCGACACUGACGCUGAGACACGAAAGCGUGGGUAGCAAACAGG